rnacentral:rRNA from 1 species
AUUGAACGCUGGCGGCAGGCCUAAAACAUGCAAGUCGCGCGAGCGGCGGAAGGGAGAGUAAUGUAUGGGGACUGAGAGAUAGAGGGGGAUAACUACUGGAAACGGUCGCUAAUACCGAAUACUAUCGGAUAACCCAUAUGGGAUUAGCUAGUAGGUGAGGUAAUGGCUCACCUAGGCGACGAUCCCUAGAUGGUAUGAGAGGGUGAUCAGCCACACUGGGAGUGAGACACGGCCCAGACUCCUACGGAGGCAGCAGUGUGGAAUAUUGCACAAUGGGCGCAAGCCUGAUGCAGCCAUGCCGCGUGUAUGAAGAAGGCCCUAGGGUUGUAAAGUACUUGCAGUCGGGAGGCGUUACCGACAGAAGAAGCACCGGCUAACUCCGUGCCAGCAGCCGCGGUAAUAC